GUUGAAAGUUCCGGCGGUGCAGGAUGAACCCGCGGCCUAUCAGCUUGUUGGUGGGGUAAUGGCCUACCAAGGCGACGACGGGUAGCCGGCCUGAGAGGGUGACCGGCCACACUGGGACUGAGACACGGCCCAGACUCCUACGGGAGGCAGCAGUGGGGAAUAUUGCACAAUGGGCGAAAGCCUGAUGCAGCGACGCCGCGUGAGGGAUGACGGCCUUCGGGUUGUAAACCUCUUUCGCCAGGGACGAAGCGCAAGUGACGGUACCUGGAUAAGAAGCACCGGCUAACUACGUGCCAGCAGCCGCGGUAAUACGUAGGGUGCGAGCGUUGUCCGGAUUUAUUGGGCGUAAAGAGCUCGUAGGCGGUUUGUCGCGUCGGCUGUGAAAUCUGGAGGCUUAACCUUCAGCGUGCAGUCGAUACGGGCAGACUUGAGUUCGGUAGGGGAGACUGGAAUUCCUGGUGUAGCGGUGAAAUGCGCAGAUAUCAGGAGGAACACCGGUGGCGAAGGCGGGUCUCUGGGCCGAUACUGACGCUGAGGAGCGAAAGCGUGGGGAGCGAACAGGAUUAGAUACCCUGGUAGUCCACGCUGUAAACGGUGGGUGCUAGGUGUGGGCGACAUUCCACGUUGUCCGUGCCGUAGCU
rnacentral:rRNA from 1 species